GACAGAGGUGCCAAGCGUUAGGCGGAAUCACUGGGCUUAAAGCGUGUGUAGGCGGAUGUCUAAGUGCCUUGUGAAAUCCCACGGCUCAACCGUGGAACUGCUUGGCAUACUGGAUGUCUUGAGCCAGCUAGGGGCUACCGGAACAAAUGGUGGAGCGGUGAAAUGCGUAGAUAUCAUUUGGAACGCCAAUGGUGAAAACAGGUAGCUGGGGCUGUGCUGACGCUGAGACACGAAAGCCAGGGGAGCGAACGGG
rnacentral:rRNA from 1 species